AUGGCUUUUUUCACUGACUUCCAGGUCGGUUUAGGAAAUCAGGCAGAGAACAUUACUCUGCACUUCUUCCUACCUCGCUGGAAGCUCCUUGAGGUUGCCCAGGACAGCAGCAGGCAGUCUGCCCCUGAGCUACCAGCUCUCACAGGAAGGAGCAGAAGGCUGGCUUUCCAGACACCCAGCUGCCCCUUUGCUUCGAGUGCUCCACAGUUUUGUGUUGAGCAAGAGCUGCUGCUUGAAGACCCUUGUACCACCUUUGGAAACACAGUAACAAGACGGGAUGUUGACAGUGGCUCCCCUGUGACAGGAUGACCUUCCUUCUCAAGGUCUGUAGCCAAAAGUUUCAUUAGCAUGGUCUUAGAAUGGCAAAAGGAAUAUGGGAGAGACAUCUCUACCAUGCUGGACGGUGGCCUCAAUCUUAAGACAACGACAGCCUGUCAGUCCUGACUUUUAUAAUCUCUAUUUACCUGCAAAAGCCUGGUGCUAGGUGCGAACCACGCAAAGCAUCCUCCUGACCAGUUUGUUUCAGCCACCAUGGAAGCAUGGACAUGUUUUGACAAGCUGCUCUUGAAAAUCAGUUACUUUUCCCUAAGCUUAGGGCAGAUAGACUUCAUCUUCCUCAAGUUCUGCUCUCCUGUCACGGUCAAGAGCAGCAAGAUGCUUCACCAAUGGUCAUGGGAGCCAGGAACCCCACUCCCAGUGGAAGAUGUUAAAACAGUGCUGAAGGAAAAAAAACAGUUAUUUUGAACAGAAAGAAUAACAAAAUGGAAACCAACAGAACUUGAAUCCUUGUAGCACGUUACUGAGCUCCUUUAGGAACAUGGCCCUCUAGGGGCUUACCUGAAUGUGUACAACUCAGAAAUUAUUGCAGAACACCCCAUAGGUGCAUGGUUUUGGAGUCAUCAAUCCCCACUAUCACCCUAUAUCCCUAUGAUUAACUCUGUGUACAUUCAUAUUCACACAGACAAACACACAUAGCCUGGAUCCUUGGGAACUCUGUCCUCUCAGCCACUCUGUAGAUUUACCUGAAGAGAAAUAUUUCUGUUCCUAAUGAACACAUACCAUGGAGUGGUCACGUGUAGUAGUUAGACAUCCACUGCAAAGAUACCAAACCAGCUUUAGUUAAGAUGUAAGGAAAGUACAACAGCACUUUUCUUCUAAUGAUUUAUAAAAGCAGCUUUCAGCACCUACAUAUCAUUUGAUGUUAUCAUCCCAAUUUUACAUUGUGUAACUACAGUUUCCAUUUUAAGUCUUUAAUGGAAAAGAUUUCUCCCUCUCUCUCAGUAAUGAAACAAAAAGCGGGUACCAGACACCAGAUCAGUCACCACUCAUCCUUACACUGAUGUAUCAAACCAGCGUAUUGUUUGUGCAAGCUUUUAGUAACCCUGUGCACGUGCACGAGUUGUUUUAAUGCUUCAAAGAUUACGCUAAAAUCUUCCCCAGAAAUGUGCUUGCCACACCUAUGAAAAGGACACAUUAAGGUCGCCAGGUCAACAAGACACUCAUUUAGAAUAGAAUAUUAACAAUUGUUUUUGAAUAGAGUAUAAAAAAUUACCUACAUCAGCCUCUCACAUCCACAGAUAGCAAGACAGACUAUCCAAAAAUGAAGUGACAUUAGAAAUGGGUAUAGCUAUUAAGAACGAACCCAAACUGUAAUUAUGUGCAUAAUAAUUACAAAGAUGUACUUACAGAUAAAAUGUACUUCUAACACUGAACCUUUAUUCUAGUGACUUAAUUGUACUUGUAGUGUUUGACAUUUCUCAGAAUUUCUGCCACACAUUUUGAAAAUAUACAUUUCUCUUCAGACUUGGAAGUCAGAGACAAACAUUCCAGGAACUAGCUUUCUAUACUUCAUUAUUUUUUCAAAUAGUAAUAUAAUUCUUCUUAAAUUUGAGGAAAAAAAUAAAAAAACACAAAAGAUGAACA
rnacentral:lncRNA from 1 species